rnacentral:lncRNA from 1 species
GGGUCGGGGGGACUGGGAGGAACUGGGAGGAACUGGGAGGAACUGGGAGUUGGGGGGGGCAGCAGGGGAAUAGGGGGGCUGAGGUCGUACAAGGAGGUGUUGGGGCGGUAGGCUGUACUGGAUGAACGGGAGAUAUUGGGGAGGGCACGGGAGAUAUUGGGGAGGGGCACGGGGGGAUAUUGGGGAGGGACACCGAAGGUUACAGGGGAUCGCUGGAGCGCACCGGGAAGAGCCGGGCUGCGCUCGGGUUCCUUCGGACGUUUCCGGCGUCGCUCGGGAACUUCCGGCCUCGCUCGGCUCGGCUCGGCUCCUCUCGGCCGCGGCAUGGCCCCGCCGGCGGGGGACGUGUCCCGGGAGCUGCAAGAAAGCAUCCGCCGGGCCCUGGGGCGGCCCCGCAUCCACCUGCUGCUGCGUGCCCGCCUGGAGACCAAACCCCGUCGGCUGGAGGAGAGGAUCUUGGCCCUCACUGCCUGGCGCCUGCACCUCUUCGGCCCCACAAUACCGGCCAAGGCUGAAGGUUCUUUGAGCGUGCUGGAGAUUCGCUGCAUCAGUGCCACCAGCCCCACCCAGGUGCGCCUGGACACGGAGCGGGGUCCCCUGGCCCUGGCCCUUGCCAGCCCUUCUGCUGCCGCCUGCCUGGCCCGGGAGCUGGGAGCCGCCCUGGGGCGGGCCCUGCCCUGUGCCCCCCCCGUGUGAGCCAUACUUGGGAUAUGCUGGGAGAGGGUUGGGGUAGGCGGUGGGGGGGACAGGGAGGGGAGUGGGAGGCAUUAGGAGAGGGCGGAAGGGGAAGGGAAGGGAUUUGGGAUAUAGCGGGAGCAGUCUGGGGAGGGAUUAGAUGGCACUGGGUUAUACUGGGAUGAACUGGGCGGGGUCUGGGGGCACUAGGAUGUACAGGGAGGGCACUGGGGUGGAUGAACUGAGACGGGAAUGGAUGUACUGGAAUACAUUGGGGGUUCCAGUCGGGGGUCGGGGGGGGCUCUGAUGCUUGUCCCCGCCCCCAGCUGGACCCUCCCCCGGCGCCGCCCCUCGACACCUCCCCCACCUCGGAGAGCUCCGCCUCCAGCGGUCCCAGCGUCUGCGGUGAGGGGCGUGGCCACGGAGGGGCGUGGCCACGGGAGGGGCGGGGUCUCGGUGGUGGGCGUGGCCUCGGGGGCCGCAUUG